rnacentral:misc_RNA from 1 species
AGCAGCCGCGGUAAUUCCAGCUCCAAUAGCGUAUAUUAAAGUUGUUGCAGUUAAAAGCUCGUAGUUGAACCUUAGGCCCGUGCGGGUGGUCCGUCCUCAGGGCGAGCACUGCUCCGUCGCGGGUCUCACCUUCUGGCGAGCGUGGAUGCCAUUUAUUUGGUGUCCGCGGGAACCAGGACCUUUACCUUGAAAAAUUAGAGUGCUCAAAGCGGGCUCCGACGCUUGAAUACAUUAGCAUGGAAUAAUGAAAUAGGACGAAGGUUCUAUUUGUUGGUU